rnacentral:rRNA from 1 species
GCAGUAGCCACGGUAAUACGUAGGGUGCAAGCGUUAAUCGGAAUUACUGGGCGUAAAGCGUGCGCAGGCGGUUAUAUAAGUCAGAUGUGAAAUCCCCGGGCUCAACCUGGGAACUGCAUUUGAGACUGUAUGGCUAGAGUGUGUCAGAGGGGGGUAGAAUUCCACGUGUAGCAGUGAAAUGCGUAGAUAUGUGGAGGAAUACCGAUGGCGAAGGCAGCCCCCUGGGAUAACACUGACGCUCAUGCACGAAAGCGUGGGGAGCAAACAGGAUUAGAUACCCCAGUAGUCCCUGUCUCUUUACA